GUGGGGAAUAUUGGACAAUGGACGAAAGUCUGAUGGAGCAACGCCGCGUGAGUGAAGAAGGUUCUCGGAUCGUAAAACUCUGUUGUGAGGGAAGAACAAGUACCGGAGUAACUGCCGGUACCUUGACGGUACCUCAUUAGAAAGCCACGGCUAACUACGUGCCAGCAGCCGCGGUAAUACGUAGGUGGCAAGCGUUGUCCGGAAUCAUUGGGCGUAAAGCGCGCGCAGGCGGUCCCUUAAGUCUGAUGUGAAAGCCCACGGCUCAACCGUGGAGGGUCAUUGGAAACUGGGGGACUUGAGUGCAGAAGAGGAAAGCGGAAUUCCAAGUGUAGCGGUGAAAUGCGUAGAGAUUUGGAGGAACACCAGUGGCGAAGGCGGCUUUCUGGUCUGUAACUGACGCUGAGGCGCGAAAGCGUGGGGAGCAAACAGGAUUAGAAACCCGAGUAGUCC
rnacentral:rRNA from 1 species